rnacentral:rRNA from 1 species
UACGUAGGGUGCGAACGUUGUCCGGAAUUAUUGGGCGUAAAGGGCUCGUAGGCGGUUUGUCGCGUCGGGAGUGAAAACUCAGGGCUUAACCCUGAGCCUGCUUCCGAUACGGGCAGACUAGAGGUAUGCAGGGGAGAACGGAAUUCCUGGUGUAGCGGUGAAAUGCGCAGAUAUCAGGAGGAACACCGGUGGCGAAGGCGGUUCUCUGGGCAUUACCUGACGCUGAGGAGCGAAAGUGUGGGGAGCGAACAGG